rnacentral:rRNA from 2 species
AGUCGAGCGGACAGAUGGGAGCUCGCUCCCUGAUGUUAGCGGCGGACGGGUGAGUAACACGUGGGUAACCUGCCUGUAAGACUGGGAUAACUCCGGGAAACCGGGGCUAAUACCGGAUGCUUGAUUGAACCGCAGGUUCAAUUAUAAAAGGUGGCUUUUAGCUACCACUUACAGAUGGACCCGCGGCGCAUUAGCUAGUUGGUGAGGUAACGGCUCACCAAGGCAACGAUGCGUAGCCGACCUGAGAGGGUGAUCGGCCACACUGGGACUGAGACACGGCCCAGACUCCUACGGGAGGCAGCAGUAGGGAAUCUUCCGCAAUGGACGAAAGUCUGACGGAGCAACGCCGCGUGAGUGAUGAAGGUUUUCGGAUCGUAAAACUCUGUUGUUAGGGAAGAACAAGUACCGUUCGAAUAGGGCGGUACCUUGACGGUACCUAACCAGAAAGCCACGGCUAACUACGUGCCAGCAGCCGCGGUAAUACGUAGGUGGCAAGCGUUGUCCGGAAUUAUUGGGCGUAAAGCGCGCGCAGGCGGUUUCUUAAGUCUGAUGUGAAAGCCCCCGGCUCAACCGGGGAGGGUCAUUGGAAACUGGGGAACUUGAGUGCAGAAGAGGAGAGUGGAAUUCCACGUGUAGCGGUGAAAUGCGUAGAGAUGUGGAGGAACACCAGUGGCGAAGGCGACUCUCUGGUCUGU